CUCCUAACAGGAGCUCUCAAAAUCGGCGCUGGUGUGGAGAUGAGCCCUGCCUUGGGGACCACUGACCCGACCACGUCCCAAAGAUCAUUAACAUGGAUUCCAGGAAAUGAAAACGAACAGAAUGCUACAAAACAAAGAUUAUCCUCUGAGCCAAGCUGCUGUCUCUCUGAGAAUGUCCAGGCAGUUUACAAAUUGCAUGUUUUUUCUCUAAGUCAUUUAAGUUCAGAGGAGAAAGCAGCUUUGUUCCUGUGGUUGUGAAGUUUACCACCCUGAAAUAGACCUUCGUUUGUACAUACAAAUACACGUGCACCCCAGGACUGCUGGCAUGCUCCAUUCUAUCCACGUGCCCGGUCACAUGGAGACUUUCAGGGACUGACCCCAGCAAGACGCAUGGUUCAAGAACAUGCACAGCAGCCCGAACGCAGACAAUACCCAUGUAAACAAUGUCUGGAGGACCUUGCAAGUUGGCAGAACCCCGACAAGGGCCAUGUGGUGAGGAGGCUGGCGCUUCAGGGACUCUGAGGAGACGCUGGCUCUGGCAUUCUGCUGGAGGGGGCACCCCGCCAGUUUCUUAGUGGGAGAAUUGAUUGUACAAGGCCCUGUUGGCUCAGAUCAACACAUUUCUAACUGCUGCUCCAAGGGAGAGACCCCACAGUUGCAACAUCUCCCUUCUGCUAUGUGGGCUUUGCAGUUUCUGCCAGAGAAAUGAUUGAUUGGCCUCUGAGUUCAUUGCUGCUGAGAAAAUUUUGUCUAUGGGACCAGGAGCAACAGAAAGCCAGAAAGGACAUAGUCCUGCUCUGCCCUGAGGUGACUGGCUUUCAAGGAAUUCUGUGUUUAGGGUUAGAGGCAAGGACUCCCCUCUGCAGGCCGAGUGCAUGCUCGGUGGGACGGGAGUGCUGCUUCUCCUUGGCUCAGCCACAAGCCCUUCCACGCCCUUCAGGUUAUCACAGGGUGACCUCAAGCUUGGCUGCUGGGCAGGGAAUGGGCCUUGUGCACAGACAAUGCCUUAACUCUGGGGAAAGGAGGAGGAUCCCAACAGCAGCACCUGGGCUGGGAAGCCUGGAGGAAAAGGGAAAAAGGAAAGGGGGUGGGAGGUGUGUGCAGUGAAAGCUCAAACGCCUUGGGUGACAGAAUUGGCUGUUGUCAGAGUCACGUCCCCACAUCAAGAACACGGAUGCUGGGUCCAAGGGGGUGCCUCUGUCCACGGCCAAGCCAAUGCUGAGGUCCGAAGUUAUCCUGAGAAUGUUGGAGGGCCCUGGAGGGAGAGACAGAGGGACAGAGCCUCCAUCGGCAGCAGAUACCAUGCAGGCCUGGCUGAGUGGGAAGCCCCCAGCUGUCAGACCUGAGGAUCCCAUGAAGGGAGGUUCCCAUCGGAGUCCUCAGCUGUGACUAGAGAUGAGGAGGGAGCUGCUAAUCCCCAGCCAUGACAGCAAUGACAGUGGGCAGGUGUCUGCCUCCACCCUCGCCGCCCACUGGAGCAGAAGGAAGCGAGGGAAGGACAUCAGCUACAACGGGGAAACCCGCAAAACCAGUGACAGGAAAUGGGGGCAGCUGGGCUCAGCACACGGGCCUUCCUAAGCAGAGCUCUGACCAGCUUCAUCUUGGAAUUUCUGUUCCUUAUCACACCCAAGGGAAGAUUCUUCCCGCCUCAACCUCCUCAUUUAUUUUAUGGGCAGCAGUCCCAGAGGGCAAGGUCUCUAAAUGCCUUUAGAAUCCCAAGUGAUGGCCGAAGGAUAAACACCAAGUGUAGUUAUUUAUACGUAUCAGCUCCUGGGCCUUUGCCAAGUUACUCAAAUCAGUCUGAAUAAAAUGCCUAAAUACAAUAGAAACCAAUAGCAACCAAAGCGUUCACCUAUGGCCUUUUGCUUUCUCUUUCUUUGUUUAAACAUAAGAGAGGCCAGAUGCAGUGGCUCAUGUCUAUAAUCUCAGAACUUUGGAAGGCCCAGGCAGGAGGAUAGCUUGAGGCCAGGAAUUUGAGACCAGCCUAGGCAACACAGUGAGACCCUGUCUCUAAAAAAAAAUACAAAACUUAGCUAAGCAUGGUAGUGCACACCUGUGGUCCCAACUACUUGGGAGGCCGAGGCAAGAGGACCUCUUGAGCCGGGAGUUGGAGGCUGCAGUGAGCUGUGAUCGUACUACUGCACUCCAGCAUGGGCAGCAGAGCAUGGGCCUGACUAAAAACAAGAAAAAAAUGAAAUAAAAAUGAGUGUUGGCCGGGCAUCGUGGCUCAUGCCUGUAAUCCCAGCACUUUGGGAGGCCAAGGCAGGUGGAUCACCUGAGGUUAGAAGUUCAAGACCAGCCUGGUCAACAUGGUGAAACCCCGUCUCUACUAAAUAUACAAAAAUUAGCCAUGCGAGACCGGGUGCGGUGGCUCACGCCUGUAAUCCCAGCACUUUGGGAGGCCAAGGUGGGAAGAUCAUGAGGUCAGGAGAUCGAGACCAUCCUGGCUAACACAGUGAAACCCCGUCUCUACUAAAAAAU
rnacentral:lncRNA from 1 species